UGGGGAAUUUUGGACAAUGGGCGCAAGCCUGAUCCAGCCAUGCCGCGCGCGGGAAGAAGGCCUUCGGGUUGUAAACCGCUUUUGUCAGGGAAGAAAUCUUCUGAGUUAAUACCUCGGGAGGAUGACGGUACCUGAAGAAUAAGCACCGGCUAACUACGUGCCAGCAGCCGCGGUAAUACGUAGGGUGCAAGCGUUAAUCGGAAUUACUGGGCGUAAAGCGUGCGUAGGCGGUUUUGUAAGACAGAGGUGAAAUCCCCGGGCUCAACCUGGGAACUGCCUUUGUGACUGCAAGGCUUGAGUGCGGCAGAGGGGGAUGGAAUUCCGCGUGUAGCAGUGAAAUGCGUAGAUAUGCGGAGGAACACCGAUGGCGAAGGCAAUCCCCUGGGCCUGCACUGACGCUCAUGCACGAAAGCGUGGGGAGCAAACGGGAUUAGAUACCCUGGUAGUCCACGCCCUAAACGAUGUCAACUGGUUGUUGGGAAGGUUCCUUCUCAGUAACGUAGCUAACGCGUGAAGUUGGACCGCCUGGGGAGUACGGCCGCAAGGUUGAAACUUAAAU
rnacentral:rRNA from 1 species